rnacentral:rRNA from 1 species
UGAGGAAUAUUGCACAAUGGGGGCAACCCUGAUGCAGCGACGCCGCGUGGGUGAUGAAGGUUUUCGGAUCGUAAAGCCCUUUUCUGCAUGACGAGCACAGGACGGUAGUGCAGGAAUAAGUGUCGGCUAACUACGUGCCAGCAGCCGCGGUAAAACGCAGGACACAAGCGUUAUCCGGAAUUACUGGGCGUAAAGGGCGUGCAGGCGGUUGCGUAAGUUAGGCGUGAAAGACUUCGGCUAAACCGGGGGAGGUCGUCUGAUACUGCGCAACUAGAGUAUGGUAGAGGCGUGUAGAAUUCCGGGUGUAGUGGUGAAAUGCGUAGAGAUCCGGAGGAAUACCAGUGGCGAAGGCGGCACGCUGGGCCAUAACUGACGCUAAGACGCGAAAGCAUGGGUAGCGAACGGGAUUAGAUACCCCAGUAGUCCCUGAGCGGGCUGGCAAGGCGCAU